rnacentral:snoRNA from 2 species
UUGGCAUGAUGAGGAAAGAAAUAUAUUUGCGUCUGAUCUGCUAGAUGAGAAAUUCCUCCUACUCAUUCUGA